rnacentral:misc_RNA from 1 species
AAAAUUAACUGUUGCCUCACAUUCUGCCCACCACCCCUGAUUAUCUCAACUAUUUCCAAAACUUCUUCUGAAUACACCCUUACCGAGGGAUUUGCACUCUUUUUGAUUGUGAAUUCAUUCGUACAAGAACCUUUAAGAGCUUUCUCUUCCGAUUGAAGAAACUUUUUCUCAACUUGAAAACCCUUCAUUUCAGUUCCUACAUU